rnacentral:misc_RNA from 1 species
UUUCCGUAGGUGAACCUGCGGAAGGAUCAUUACCGAAUUGUCAAACGGGUUGUUGCUGGUCUUCAAACGGGGACAUGUGCACGCUCUGUUUACACAUCCACUCACACCUGUGCACCCUCCGUAGUUCUAUGGUCUGGGGGACCCUGUCUUCCUGGCCUGGUUCUACGUCUUUACACACACUCUGUAAUAAAGUCUUAUGGAAUGUAUGCCGCGUCUAACGCAAUACAAUACAACUUUCAGCAACGGAUCUCUUGGCUCUC